rnacentral:lncRNA from 1 species
GCCCAGGCCCCGACAGGGCCCCGCCUGGCCUUCCGGGCCUGGACCCACCCGGCAGGCCUUGGGACUCUGGUCGGCCUGGUCGAGAAAACCCGAGGCUACAGACACGCAGGGGUCCUUUCUGGGUCGUUGGAAGAACCACAGAGGCCAUGGCUGAGCAGUGUUCCCGAGUCCUCGCUGUCCACGGAACCGGAAGCUGUUUCCAUUCUCAUCAUUGCUCCUGCAUUUUCUGCAGGGCCCCUUCAGACCCAGGUCCCAUCACGAGAGUCAGAAUCUGGUGACAGUGCGUCAGCUGAUGGGGUGAAGGCUGCGGAGUUGUGAGAGAAGGCAGAACCCCCCUUGGAGGUGAAUGUCAAGCCUGAAGAGGAAGGAUGGGAAGCGGGAGCUGGCCGUGACCUGGGCAGAGGCUCCCAAGCAAAAGCAGGUCGGGGCAGCAGGAGAUAACGCCGCGCGCACAGCCUGGAGCUGCGGUCUUCACACUGUGUGUGUUCCUAGUACCCUGGGCUGCCUGGCGAAGCCUGGGUGUCCUUUUCAGAACGAUGUCGUCAAGUAGAUUUAAACGCAUAAAACAAAGACCAUGGGGUCACAAAGGGGAACAAUUCUAUCAAAACACAGUUAUCAAAAUACAUGAAACAAUUCAUGACAGCGUGGCCUAUGGGCUUCUUUAUCAGCAUGUUAAUGGCAGGUUCUGGUCGGUCUGUCGUCUGAUACCAGUGGACACUUCGCAGCAGCCCUGUGCAGAGGGCUGCCACUGGAGACACCUUCGGUGAGGGCGGUAACAUGGGGAUGUAAACACUGCUUCUGCUGGCCGUGGAGCCACAGGCCCUGCUGGCUGGGGUCAACUGCACCCCCAAAGGAAUGAAUGCUGGACUUCAGUUGGAGUUGUUGGGGUAAAUAAAGACGUUUUUCCAUCCAGG